ACAUUUAAAGCAAAAAGGUGGCAACUUAAUUUUAAGUUGAAAAAUCCCACAUUCCUCUGUGAAGACAUGAACCACUAGUUCAGCUCCUAUAAGGUCAUUUGCUAAGCACGGUGAAUCUGCGCUCUUGCCUGGGAUUCAUACAAAUACAUAUGCAUAUGUUCAAGCAAGGAGAGCGCUCAGAGUGGUCCCUCUUGAAGCCAAUGACUUGUGACCGGGUUAACUAUAUUAGAGACACACUGAUAAAAAGCCCAAGCUUGGAAAGACAGAGAGGCAAGAAGACAAUCAAACCUGAGAAGAUGCAUGCUUCUUUGUUCGGAAUAAAGUCCUGAAUUGUUGAAAAUGUGCAGAAAUACCUUUUAGCACCAAAUGCUAAAUGAUUACAAAUGUUUCUUUCCUACACUACUUUUUAUGUCUCUCUAGUUAGGGGAUAAGUGCCAUUGAAAAGAACCUGUAGUUUCUGGAAAGUAGAUUAAAAAAUAAAAAAGUACACAUGUUUCAAAUGAAUGAAUGAAUAAAAAUGUAAAUCAGAUGAAUGAAAGAAUGAAUAUAAGAAUGUAAAAGACCAUGCUAGAAAUAAGCAGGUAUAUUUUGAAAAGACUGAAGUAGCAAGCACAAAGACUCGGGGAACAUAGCAGUACACUUACCGCAAGGAUAGAAAUAAGAAUGCUAUUCUUCAUUGUCACAGAGAAGGUUUGAGUCUGACCUGAGGGACGAUAUGUUAUUUUUCUUGUUCUAGGUUUGAGGUGGUCCAUCCAUAAUGUUUUAUUUGUUCCCCCUCCAAGGUAUGAUGAACCUAGUAGUUCACAGCCAUGAGGUAGUGCUCAGGGAAUAGAGGCUAAUGCACACCUAGCCUCAAGAUACAUACAGUACUGUUAAAUACAAAGCCAAGAUAGAAAAGACAGAGGAUAUACCCAAAAUAAGUGACCAAGAAGGAGUACGAAGACAUAGUUGCUUGGGCUGUGUUGCAUUUCUGUCUAAACCUAACAAUGACUGAACUACAUUGUUUCUUUUAUAUUUUUUAAUUAUUUUUAAAAAUUUUUCAAGUGAUAUGUGUACUCCUUUAUUUUUUAUUUUCAUUUACUUUAUUGAAAAACUAUUUUCAUGCAAUAUGUCCUGAUUAUUGUUCUACAGUUUAUUUACCUCCAUCCCCGCUGUAAUUCACACUCUUUCUUUCUUGCAAUGGAAAACUAACAAGCAUUUUUUUUAAAUUAAAAUGAAAUAAGAUAAGAAACAAACUGGAAUAUGACAAAGCAGGGAAAAGAAAAGGCACAAGAAACACAUAGACACAUAUGUUCUCACCUCAGAGAUCUUGUAAAAACACAAAAGUGGAAACUAUUACAUUUAUAUAUAUACACAUAUACAUAUACACACAUAUAUACACAUAUAUGUAUAAAUAUAUAUGCAAAAAAUCUAUAAAGUAAAAAGCAAAAGAACCUCAAAAAUUGGGAUACAAAUCUAGACAGAGAAUUCUCAAAAGAUUACAAAGAAAUAGAAAUAGCUGAGCAGCGCUUAAAGAAAUAUUCCUUGUAGGGAAUACAGAUCAAAACUAUUUACAUUGCUUCUUAUGUUUGAGUAUAUCACAUCCAGAGAUCCUCCAAUUUGUGCCUCAGAAAAUCUAAAAGCCAUCAUUGAAAGAUCCACCUUUUUUAUUGACAAAGAAAAAGUCUGAGAGAAACAAAUGGUUUUAUUUACCCAUGAACAAAUUAUAUAUGCAUUGGACUUUUAUAUAACAUUUUAUGAUGAGAGAUAUGAGAUAGGAGAACAGAUACCCACUGC
rnacentral:lncRNA from 1 species